rnacentral:rRNA from 1 species
UAUGGNUCAACCAUAGUGUGCUCUGGAAACUGUCUGACUUGAGUGCAGAAGGGGAGAGUGGAAUUCCAUGUGUAGCGGUGAAAUGCGUAGAUAUAUGGAGGAACACCAGUGGCGAAAGCGGCUCUCUGGUCUGUCACUGACGCUGAGGCUCGAAAGCGUGGGUAGCGAACAGGAUUAGAUACCCUGGUAGUCCACGCCGUAAACGAUGAGUGCUAGGUGUUAGGCCCUUUCCGGGGCUUAGUGCCGGAGCUAACGCAAUAAGCACUCCGCCUGGGGAGUACGACCGCAAGGUUGAAACUCAAAGGAAUUGACGGGGGCCCGCACAAGCGGUGGAGCAUGUGGUUUAAUUCGAAGCAACGCGAAGAACCUUACCAGGUCUUGACAUCCCGAUGCUAUUCUUAGAGAUAGGAAGUUACUUCGGUACAUCGGAGACAGGUGGUGCAUGGUUGUCGUCAGCUCGUGUCGUGAGAUGUUGGGUUAAGUCCCGCAACGAGCGCAACCCUUAUUGUUAGUUGCCAUCAUUAAGUUGGGCACUCUAGCGAGACUGCCGGUAAUAAACCGGAGGAAGGUGGGGAUGACGUCAAAUCAUCAUGCCCCUUAUGACCUGGGCUACACACGUGCUACAAUGGUCGGUACAACGAGUUGCGAGCCGGUGACGGCAAGCUAAUCUCUGAAAGCCGAUCUCAGUUCGGAUUGGAGGCUGCAACUCGCCUCCAUGAAGUCGGAAUCGCUAGUAAUCGCGGAUCAGCACGCCGCGGUGAAUACGUUCCCGGGCCUUGUACACACCGCCCGUCACACCACGAGAGUUUGUAACACCCGAAGUCGGUGAGGUAACCUUUUAGG